rnacentral:tRNA from 1 species
AUUUUCUUAGUACAAAAGUACUUAUGGCUUCCAACCAUGCAGCUCUGGUUUAAUCCCAGAAGAAAAUA